CAUUUUUUAAACUUUUUAGUUGGCUUUAAUGUCUAAUAUUUACAUAAGAAAUUAUUCUUGAUUAACAUAAUAAUGCUUAAGGGAAGAAUACCAGAAUUCCUAAAUCACUUCAGACAUAAGCAAAAGAAGCUUUGCACUAAAGACUUAGGAAUGAAACUGCAAAGCUGGUUAAAUUUUCUCUUUUCUAAAAUGUACACAAUCAAUGAAACCAUCAAAUGUAUCAGAUGAAAAUCCUCAUCUUUCUCUGUUUUGUUCUUCAGAAUAGAUGCAUAAAGCACAGAUAGGAGGUAUUUAAGCAAAUAAAAUGUCCACUUCAGAGAAGAAAUCUGGAAUAGGGAAUUGGGUAGGAAUCACUGUCUUCUUCACCGAGCACACCUUCUGAGUUCUUUGCCCAAGGUGGCCCAGCUAUAAAGUUAGCUUGCUAGAUCCCUGGGUGUUUUAAAUAAUACGUGUGACACAGGCUGUUCAUCCAUUCGUGAGGUCACUCAUUAAUUCAGCAAAUACGUACGGAGAACUUACUCUGCUAGGUCUUGUGCUGGGGAGCUGCUAGUGAAGAUGAUAGAUGCAGUCUCUGCUGUGUGUGGAACUCACUAUCAGAAAAGGACAGGUGAGAAACCAGCCAGAGCACCUGCACAUCAGGCCUGAUGCCUUGAAUUGGGGACUUUGUGCUGAGAGGCACUUCCUAUCAACUAUGUAUCCAGCACUUAAAGCUCGCUUCAGAGAUACUAACUCAGAAUUUUCAUAAAUAGAUCAGUAUUAUGGGAAUAGGGUGUGGUGUAUGGAAGGUUGUUGGUCUAAAAAAUGUUCUAGGUAGAUGAAUUUAUUUAACAAUUAUAACAUUUAUCAGGGUCUUUUAUGGGUGAGUCACUGGGAAGAAUAGGAAAGCUAUCAGGCAGAGACUCUCAGAUCAGUUGUCAAAUUCUGCCCCUCUGCCCCAUCAUAUCUUUCCCCCAGAUUCUCCUGGUUAAAGUUCAUUGACUUCUGCUUGUGAAGCUCAGCUUUGACCCCCGUUCUCAGAGGAAGCAAGUCCUCCCUCUGGUACUCUGCUCUUUCAUGUUUACUAUGAAGAAACUGUUUCCAACUCAGUGUGCAGUGAUGUGCACUCUCUUCUCUGCACUGACCAGUGUUUCCUGAAAGGAUGGAACACACAUCAUAAAUGGAGGCCUGUGCCUUUAUUUCAUACCUUUAAUUCUCACAAGUGUUAGAUUUGACCAUCCAUGUGUUACAGAUGAGGAAAAGGAAGCUAGAGAUUGACCAGUCUUGCCACUUGUUUUAUCAGACCAAAGUGCUAGAAAAACUUGACCCCAAACCUCUACUUUUUCCAAGAGGUUAAACUUACUCUGUUACAAAAAUUCAUUCAUUCUUUGGUUUUGCCUCAAGGAUCAAGAUGAAUGCCUGUUUCUCCUUGGUGCUACUGCUCUCUACUCUUCUGAUUUCUGACUCUCCAUUAUUGCCAUCCAAAGUUGCCUGGUCAUCAGUGGUAAGGUGCAUUAGCAGAGAGUUGAAUCUGAAGAGAAGCAGCCACAACUCAGGUACAAGACAAAGAGUGGGAAGACUAGAAAAUGCAUCUUUUCAGGACUUUGUCACAGCCAUGUGAUUGUUAAAGAGAGUCUGGGUACUGGAGUAUUGAGUGAUUUGAAGGUAAGUAGAAAAGAGACAUUCGUCUCAUUCACAAAAUGAGCAUUUCUGGGAAGACUUUUAGCAUCACAUAAUGAGCUAGAGACUGGGUAGAGAAACCAUUCAGAUAUAGUCACUGCCCACAAUGCUUUGUAAGAUGUUAAAUAAGUAAAAAUACAUUGAUGAAAUACUGUGGAAACUGUGAGAGUAGAGUUAUGCACAGCUUGUGAAUGAAUGUGCAGGAGAUGACAUUCCAACCCAGACUUCCCCCAAAGAGGUGAGACAUAUGGAACUCUAGUGGGAUCUGGGCAGGCUUUUGUGAGACCAUUUCAAUGAGAUGGAUAGCUCUGAAAAAUUCAUGGAGGAAAGAGGUUUGUAAUUGUCUCGGGUUCAAGAUCAGUGCAGAUGAGUGACAAACUGAGGUUAGAGUGAGCAAGGCUAGAUAUCACAGAAUCAUGUUCAUCAUGAUGGUGAUUCAUUUAUUCUGAAUAUGA